rnacentral:rRNA from 1 species
GAUGAACGCUGGCGGCGUGCUUAACACAUGCAAGUCGAACGAGAAAUGGAGACGGAAACCUUCGGGCGGAAGGCUUCAUUUCGAGUGGUGGACGGGUGAUUAACGCGUGGGUAACCUGCCUCAUACAGGGGGAUAACAGUUGGACACGACUGUUAAUACCGCAUCAGACCACAGCACCGCAUAGUGCGGAGGUACAAACUGCGGUGGUAUGAGAGGGACCCACGGUCGAUUAGCCAGUUGGCGGGGUAACCGCCCACCAAAGGGACGACCGAAAGCCGGUAUGAGAGCACGGCCCGGCACAUUGGGAGAGAGACACGUACGAAACUCCUGCGGAUGGCAGCAGGGGGGAAUAUUGAACAACGCGGGAGUCACUGAUGCAGCGAGGCCGCGUGAGUGAGUUAGUACUUCGGUACGUAAAUGUGUAUCAGCAGGGCAGACAAUGACGGUACCUUAGCAAGAAGCCCCGGCUAACUACGUG